AUUGAACGCUGGCGGCAGGCUUAACACAUGCAAGUCGAACGAGUGGCGGACGGGGGAGUAAUGAUUGGGAAUCUAGCUUAUGGAGGGGGAUCACUACGGGAAACUGUAGCUAAUACCGCGUACCAUAGGAUGAGCCCAAGUGGGAUUAGGUAGUUGGUGAGGUAAAGGACCACAAAGCCGACGAUCUCUAGCUGGUCUGAGAGGAUGAACAGCCACACUGGGCAUGAGACACGGCCCAGACUCCUACGGGAGGCAGCAGUGGGGAAUAGUGCGCAAUGGGGGCAACCUGACGCAGCCAUGCCGCGUGAAUGAAGAAGGCCUUCGGGUUGUAAAGUUCUUUCGUUAGCGAGGCGUUAACUACAGAAGAAGCACCGGCUAACUCCGUGCCAGCCGCCGCGGUAAUUC
rnacentral:rRNA from 1 species